UGAUCUCACGGACCCCAAUAUAGACUCUGCCAGUCCGGGAACUCUUGCACGCACACAAGCAGCAACCCGAUAGCCAUAAACAACGGAGAAGCAAAAGUAAGAAAACACGGGAGAACGGAUCGAGAAGAAGCGAAAUCUCUCUUCUCUUUUCAGGCUGUGACAUGAGAAGAAGAUACUACCGCCACAGCGCCAAUGACGGCCAACGAGCCAAGGGCCGACAGAGUACACACAACAAUACAGAAGACGAGAAAAAGAAGCGACAGCUCACCACAGUGUGUGGACCAAUAGGAACUUUCACUGGCGAGAGACAUUUUAUUUUUUUAAAUCGAAGAUUAAAUUUUAAAAAACGAAAGAAGAAGAAGAAGAAGAAGAAUGAAGACAAUCGACUUGAUUAUGGAAAUGAACCCAACCGUAUCGAAAGAUGUAAACGUCGUUCCCGACAAAGUAUAAAAAAGCACUUGAUAGUUUCGCCUCUUGCCCCGUCCACCCUCCUUUGCGUGUUGCACUCACGCCACAUCCACGACGCUUAUCCAGCCUUUUGCUCUGCCUCCUCCUCUUUUUUUUUACUCACCAAAACAUUUCCUACCCCCCCGUUUUUGUUGUCACCAACCUAUAUGCACGGCCACAACAUUCUUUUUUAUUUCAGGUACCAUAUUCUGCUCCUUCUUAGUUCAUUGCUGUUGACCAUCGUUCGAAAGUUUACCAAAGAAAAACAAAAAUGCGGCGCUCUGAAUAACGACUGGUUAACACGUUUCAUGCCGGCAGCGUUUUAUGUAUAGUAAUCGUCGAUUAAUGGCUCGGAAUCCAGCUGCAACUUUGUCUGUUUGGCCUUUCUACGUGCAUAUUUAUCGCAGCGUGGCUGAACGGUUGAAAGAGGAGAAGACGACGAACAACAUUCCGCACACGGUGAGCGACGUUGAAAUGGCCCGACUGAUGUAAGCGCUGAGGGCCCUUGCAUUGGACGUUUCUCCCAAUAUAAAGAAAACCAAAAAUUCUAGCUAACUGCGCAUCAUCAACAUAACCUUUUUAAGAGUGCCGCUCUUGCCACCGCCUGCCGCUCGCAUCGGUGGCUGUCCCAACGCAACUCUCCUUUAAUUACAGAUAUAUGUGUAGUACGUGUCUAUAAACAUUUCUUCCGCGUA